AUGCUCUCAUCAGGCAGCCCACCGGCUGGAGUCCCUCACAGGGUGGAGGGAGGCACAGUUGGUGGCAGAACAGUCCCUGUGAGUCUGAACUUCAGCCCGAGCAGGGCAGCAGCCAGCCUUCCAACCCCGUGCAGUCAGUCGGAAACGGCCAGGCUACCAGGUGCCCAGUGCUCAGAGUGGGGGAGGCAGGGAGCAAGUGCCAGUCACCAGCCACCACCACGGUCUGCUGGUUCCAAAGUACAAGGUCCCCACAGCCCGCAGACACUGUGAAGCUGCUCCAAGAGCCACGGGAAGGGACACCCAGAGCCAAGCCAUCAGCAGAAAACCGGAAUAGGAAGGCCAAGGAGGUGGGGCUGGGAGCGGCUGAGGAGGCUGCAGCGCCUCCCCGGGCAGGGCUCCACAGCCUUUCACGGCUGCCUCUGGAACACAGGUCAGCACUGAGAAAGCGAUGACUCAGGACUGUACAGUGGCUUCUUCUCAGCAAAAAUGAGGCCCAACUUCUCCCCAUCAAACUGCCCAGAGACCACCGCAAGUUGAUGAGCACAGAUCCACACGGCUGGGGAAGCGGCCAGGCCAGACCCGAGGGGGCCCAGGACGCACAGGACAGAGAGAGAGAAAGGAGGAGGAGGAAGAGGCAGCCUCUGACCUGCAGCAGCAGAGUCAAAGCCGGCAGGACCACGAGCCCUGAGCGGGGCCCAGCGCCCCCACCGUCCUGCCAGCAAACCCGGUUACUGGCCAACACCUCAAGUUGCAGCCAACAGACCUAAGUCCAUUUAUUUGCAGGAUUCCACUGAGAUGACGCCCAGGAAAAUGCAAGACUUUAGGGCCAAGUAUCAUAUCAACGAGUUGCGAGGACCAGGAGUGGCCACAGAGCACAGGGAGCCUCCAGUGCAGUGGAGGAACUCUACAUCUUCACCCAGUCGUGGUUCCAUGACCACUUCACAGAGCUGGACACCUACAAAGGGUGAAGUUUCCUGUAGUUCAUAUAGACCUCAAUAAAUGUGACUUAGAAAUAAGCCACAGGAUGGGGAAGUGGAGAGAAGACAGAUGGACCCUGGAAUCAGGCUCCCGCAUGAAUCCUGAACCUGCUCAACAGCCAGCUGUGUGACCCUAGCAGGCUGUCCUUAUUCCCUCUCCAAGCCUCGGUUUCUUCAUCUGUAACAUGAAGAUGGUGGGCUUCCAUCUCACACAGCUGCUGGGACCAUCAAGUGAGCGCCUGGCACACUGUGUAAGUGCUCGUGUUUGCUAUCAUUUACCACACGGUUUGUAUUUUGGGCUCAAGAAGCUUAGAUUCUGAUGGGUGUGUAGCAACAACUGCUUCUAAUGUGUUAAGAAUGCGUCGUACCCCAAAUAGAAACCAAACAUUCACAGGCGCCAGGGCCAGCUGCUGUCCAGCCAGCCGCCAGGCUCAGAGCCGUGGAACAGGUGCCGAGCUCCAGCACUGGCUGGUACCGCUCCCCAGAGGGCAGAGCCCACAGCAUUCCCAUCAAGGGCUCGGGCUAAAAUCUGUCCUGCUGGAGCAAAGGGCAGGGAGAGACGGGGGCGGAGGUGAGAGAAGGCUCUGAGGGGCGUAGCUGUGGGGAGGCCCACGGUGCCCUGAGGAAGUCCUGGCAUCUGCAGGGGAACCCCAGCCAAGACAGAGCUUCCCCCUCUCAGGCCUCCUCGGAAUGGUAUUCAGAAGAACAUCUUCCUCAUCAAAGUCUGGGAAUCCCUGGAUUUUUCAGUGUCUUUAUUUCGAAGGAGCUGACAUUUGUUGAAAUCUUAAGUGUGUACCAGACACCAGGGCAAGAGCUUAACACUCGCACAUUCUGUCAUCAUCCACCAGAACAGAGAGGCUAGUACUGCUAGUCCUGUUUUACUGAUGCAGCUCCAGGGGUUGCAGUAACCUUGGAGGGCCCCCAGCUCCUAAGGCACCGAGCUGGGGCCUGAACCUCCUGCCCUGGCUGUGCUGUGGGCACUAGGGACCCAGGAGGGGCACAGCACUUGGCCCUGCCCAAGGACUUCAGGCAACCUCCGGGAGCACUCUGUGGGCUGCAGGGAGCCCUGGCCUGGAGGGCUUUUGCAGGUGGAGCAUCUCAGAAGGCAACAGGAGAGUCCGCAGGAAGGGAGGGCUGCCCACAGCGCAGACUCAGAGGCUCCAGGAUUGGGUUGGCAAGGCCCUAGCCAACUAUUAGGAUGGCCCCCGGGCUUGGAUGGAGCCUGGGG